AGAGUGAACGCUGGCGGUAGGCCUAACACAUGCAAGUCGAACGGCAGCACAGUGGUAGCAAUACCAUGGGUGGCGAGUGGCGGACGGGUGAGGAAUACAUCGGAAUCUACCUUUUCGUGGGGGAUAACGUAGGGAAACUUACGCUAAUACCGCAUACGCCCUUCGGGGGAAAGCCGGGGAUCGCAAGACCUGGCGCGGAUAGAUGAGCCGAUGUCGGAUUAGCUAGUUGGUGAGGUAAUGGCUCACCAAGGCGACGAUCCGUAGCUGGUCUGAGAGGAUGAUCAGCCACACUGGAACUGAGACACGGUCCAGACUCCUACGGGAGGCAGCAGUGGGAAUUUUGGACAAUGGGGGAAACCCUGAUCCAGCCAUCCCGCGUGUGCGAUGAAGGCCUCGGUUGUAAGCACUUUGCAGGAAGAAAGGCGUGCCUAAGUACGGACGUACGACUGACGGUAACCUGCAGAAUAAGACACCGGCUAACUACGU
rnacentral:rRNA from 1 species